AGUCGGCAAACAAAGCUGCAAAAGAGAGAAUUUCCCCAUUUGGACCCUCAUUGAAUAGUGCACAGAGUGCAAUAGUCUACACGUUGACAGGUGAUUCCAUUUGCAAGAGUAAUGGGGUUAUGAUUUUGUUAGGAUAGUUUAUAUUUACACCAUACAACACUUUUUUGAAAAAAAAACCCACAAAUAAUACAGUACAUAAUGAGAAAACUGAAUAUUAAGCUAAAACCUCAGAAAAGAUAACACGACGAGAAACAUAUAUGUUUAGCUGGAAAAUUGACCCCCCUCUGGGAAAGUGGGCGAAACCAAGAUUGUGUAAAAUAAAAAAAGCAUCAUUCGUGUGUCAUAAGUCAGAACAGUAACAUGGAACUUUUAGUGUUAGGAAAAUGCUUACAGUAAAUGUUCAACGGAUGCAUUGUUUAUUUGAUGAAAGAUAUCGAGUGCUUUCAAAUUACUAAAGGAUGUACCAUUCUUUAUAAGUGACAAGAACUCAAGUGACCUUAAAGAAGGAAUUUGGAUAAAAACAGUAAAUUUCUAACCAGCAACGUAGCUAAAAUAAUUCGCGUUCAAAGUCUGCCAAAGCAAAACUCAUCAAAAGACUCUAUGGUGGCAAUUUAUAUUGAUUAACUAGCAACGGAGACGAGCGCUGAAGAUACAGUCUUUGCCGAUGGACUCGGGGUUGUCUCCGUUGCAUAGCAGCUGGACUCCAUCGCCAUCGGACUUUCGCAGCCGACAUCCUCGAUCCCCAAGGGCAAUGGUAUUUCCUUAAUGGGCUGGGAAAAUCUGCCAUAGGGUCUGAGGGUCUGCAAAUAACGAUGACCAUGAGACAAGGUUGUAUUGGAAAAAUAUAAAGUUGGUGUUAUAUAUUACACUACACUGCAAGAUAACAAUUUUAAUCAGUUUCGCUGUUAACUGCACUAUUUAGCCUACCGUCUCCGGAGAUGGCCGUAUCUGCAUCCUCGCAGAUGCCAUGGAAGGAAGAGCUGUGAUCGAAAAGCCCAGCCACGGCCUGCGAGGUCUGGCUCAUCUUCGGUAGAGGCGGGCCACCACCUGUCGCUGAUCUGUCUACCUUUCGCAAGCAUAUGUCUGUCUUUGCGUGUUUCAUCUACAGUACAGGACAGUACACGGGUCCGAGGACCGCUGCCGCAGGCAUUUACACUGUUCACUAACGACAACCACAACUGGUUGACCUUGUGGGCGGCCCCCGGACCAGCGGAAGCGUGGCUACUUCGCAUUGUGUUUGCAUUCUCCUUCAUGAAGUCGACAAUUAUAUCAACUUCUCUGGAAGUGAACAUUUUUGACUUAGUUCGUUUUGCUUCCUCCGCCAUGUUUGUUAUGAUCUUCUGCUGACAGUUGUGCGCGAAAAUGACGUCAUACGCGUGCACCUUGCGGUAAUAAUUACCGUGGUUAAUUUGUUCAUUAUCGUGGUUAAGUUACCGCGCGGUAAAAAGUUUUGUACACGCGGAUUAACUGCGUGGUAACUUAACCACGAUAAUAACUGUGGUCAUUGUUUUACCGUGGUAAUUUUUAACCAGUGUUUAUACAAUUGGCUGCAGAUAGUUUGGUUUGGUUCCUUGUUUGUUUCAGUGGGUUUUACAGCCUUAGAACUGCCAUUCAACAAUAGAACAAAAUGUAUUAGUUCAAUGACCAUAUAAUAUUUUUGAAACAAUGUUUAGGUAAUAAUCUUAUUUGUACUCACUCAUUAUUGGAAUGUUUGUAUGAGUAUAUCAGUAAGUACUGUCAUUCGUUCAUAGAAAUGUUCCUGCUUCUCUGCCAAGCUGUUUUGUUUGGCAUUGAACAGCAUCUGCAUCUCUUUCAGUGACCUGUAUAUGUUUAAAUUAAGCCAUCAGCUAAGUUAUUAUGGUUAUUGUUAAACAAUGAUAUGAUUCUAUUGGUUCAGUAAGCCAGCUUCAUUGUUAGUAAAUAAUUUCAAUUUAAAGAAUAUGACAUUGUAAUUUUAUUGUUAAAAGUUGCAUUUUUAGUUUAUAUAAAUGAAACUAGUUCCAAUAAUAUAAACAUACUUAGUCUGAGGCUCUUUCUUGUUACUUUUGCAAUCUGUAUCUGUUUCUGCUGAUGAACCAUAUCUUGCCUGCAUCUCUGAUGAAAAUAGUUACAUUAUAGAACCAUGUUAUAGAUCUUUUAUGUUAAGAUCAUAUUAUUUGUUUCAUUGAGUCAACGUUG